rnacentral:rRNA from 1 species
AUUGAACGCUAGCGGGAUGCUUUACACAUGCAAGUCGAACGGCAGCGCGGACUUCGGUCUGGCGGCGAGUGGCGAACGGGUGAGUAAUGUAUCGGAACGUGCCCAGUAGCGGGGGAUAACUACGCGAAAGCGUAGCUAAUACCGCAUACGCCCUACGGGGGAAAGCAGGGGAUCGUAAGACCUUGCACUAUUGGAGCGGCCGAUAUCGGAUUAGCUAGUUGGUGAGGUAACGGCUCACCAAGGCGACGAUCCGGAGCUGGUUUGAGAGGACGACCAGCCAACCGGGGAUUGAGACAGGGCCCAACCCCCUCGGGGGGGCAGGAGGGGGGAAUUUUGGAAAAGGGGGGAAACCCUGACCCACCCACCCCGGGUGGGGGAGGAAGGCCUUCGGGUUGUAAAGCACUUUUGGCAGGAAAGAAACGUCGCGGGUUAAUACCCCGGGGAACUGACGGUACCUGCAAAAUAAGCCCCGGCUAACUACGU